UACGUAGGGUGCGAGCGUUAAUCGGAAUCAUUGGGCGUAAAGCGCACGUAGGCGGCCCAGCAAGUGGGGAGUGAAAGCCCUCGGCUUAACCGAGGAAGUGCUUUCCGAACUACUGGGCUUGAAUACUGGAGAGGGUCGCGGAAUUCCCGGUGUAGAGGUGAAAUUCGUAGAUAUCGGGAGGAACACCAGUGGCGAAGGCGGCGACCUGGACAGAUAUUGACGCUGAGGUGCGAAAGCGUGGGGAGCAAACAGG
rnacentral:rRNA from 1 species